UACGUAGGGGGCUAGCGUUGUCCGGAAUCAUUGGGCGUAAAGAGCGUGUAGGCGGCCCGGUAAGUCCGCUGUAAAAGUCAAAGGCUCAACCUUUGAAUGUCAGUGGAUACUGCCGGGCUAGAGUCCGGAAGAGGCGAGUGGAACUCCUGGUGUAGCGGUGGAAUGCGCAGAUAUCAGGAAGAACACCAACGGCGAAGGCAGCUUGCUGGGACGGUACUGACGCUGAGACGCGAAAGCGUGGGGAGCGAACAGG
rnacentral:rRNA from 1 species